rnacentral:tRNA from 1 species
GCUCCCGUGGCUCAACUGGAUAGAGCAUCGGUCUUCGGAACCGAGGGUUACAGGUUCGAAUCCUGUCGGGAGUACCA